CUCCAGUGUCACACAAUCCUUCAGAAAUCAUGCUUUGUGAAAACAAGAAUAAAAUUGUACAAAAUAUUUACAUAUAAAGCAGUUAUUUGAAAUUGUACUAAUAUUUCACAACAUUACCAUUUUUAUUUAUGAUCAAAUAAAUGCAGUUUUCUUAGUGUACAUGAGACUUAUUUCAGAAACAUAAAAAGAUCUCUAUCUCCAAGCUACACACUCUCACACCAAAGUGACUGUUAAAAAUCAUUUAAACUUUGUGUCAGUACAUCAUAAAUAGGAAAAGGCAUCAGAUCACCGUCUGUGAUUUGUUGUUUCGUGCCGCAUCCAGUGUAGAGAGCAUCACUGAUUAUAAAAGGCUCUGUUGUAUUUUGUUGUGCUGUCCAGUGAAGACACAGUGUUAGAACGCUUGUUAAAUAUCAUUACAUAUGAUGUAUGUAUGAUCCCAUUCAGCACUGAUAGAUCUUUUCUAUUUCAGAGACUGAAAAUCAUUGAUAAACCACAAGGUUACUGUAACAUAUUUAAACAAUAUUAAUAAGAAUUAAUAAAAAUGCAUCUGUGACUUAAUAUUGCUUCUUAUUCUUCAGUGGAAAGUUCUCAUUAAACACAUAGCUUUCUUCUCAUCUCUGUGCAUUUUCAAACGUUGUGCAUAUUUCUGAAUCAUUUUUUUUUUUACUUCAUAAUAUUGGUUGUCUUCUCUUGUUUCAGAGUUUAGCUCCAACCCCAGUUAAGCAGACCUGAGCAGCUGAUCAAGGAUCAGCAGAAACUCUGCAGAACGGUGGUCCUACAGCCCAGGACUGGACACCAGUGUUAGUGUCUGUCUCAGAAGCUGAAGAAAAAAGGCCAUACCUUAUAGGAAAUAAACGCCUCCUAAGUGUAUGGAAAUACCUGGCUGAGGAGAUCAGUGACAUAAACCAGAUAAAACUGUCAGUGGUCUGAGACAGCUACAAGCCACAAAAACAGUUCAUAGUUCCUGCAUUUCUAUAAUGCAUUAAUGAAUAACAAUAAUUAAAAUAAAAUGUAAUGUCAAGGUUUUGUGUUAAUUCCAGCUAUGUUGAGUAUUCUGUGAAUAAUUUUGAUUUUAGGUGCAUAUUCUUAAUUCUUUGCAAAACAACCUGAACUGUUUGCUAUUGAAAGGUUGGUAUGAAGUUUAAAUAAAUAAAAACAUUAUAUUCUUGACAAAACCUGUGUACAGUUUGUAUUAAUAAUUUAAAUUAUUUACUUAUAUUAAUUAAUGGCCUAAUUACCAGCUAUCAGUUAAACAUUCAAAUCAGAAACAAUAUAAAACUGCAACGAAAACUAUUAAAUAUAUGCAAAUAAAGACCAGUACAAACUUGCAAUGAAACCAUCAGAACCAUUACAAAACCAACAGAAACCAUUAAAUUUGUUUUAAUAAAGACCAAUACAAACUUGUAAUGGAACCAUCAGAACCAUUACAAAACCAACAGAAACCAUUAAAUUUGUUUUAAUAAAGACCAAUACAAACUUGUAAUGGAACCAUUACAAAACCAAUGGAAACCAUUAAAUUUGUUUUAAUAAAGACCAAUACAAACUUGUAAUGGAACCAUCAGAACCAAUACAAAACUGUGAUGGAAACCAUUAUGUGCAAAUCGUGACCAAUACAAACUUGUAAUGGAAACCAAUACAAACCAAUAAAUCCUAAUGGAAUAUGCCCAAAACACACUACGUAAUGGAAACCAUUUGGUAAUGGUUUUAAUGGUUAAUUGCUGAUGGUUUGUAAUGGUUUUGUAAUGGAAACCAUUAGAAUUUCUGUAAUGGUUUCUAU
rnacentral:lncRNA from 1 species